UCACAGUUGCCUGGGGCUCUCAAUCCCACUUU
rnacentral:piRNA from 1 species